rnacentral:tRNA from 1 species
GGAGGUAUAGCCCAGUGGUAGAGCACAUGCUUAGCAUGCAUGAGGUCCUGGAUUCAAUCACCAGUACCUCCA